AGGGAUCAUUACUGAGUUUACGCUCUACAACCCUUUGUGAACAUACCUAUAACUGUUGCUUCGGCGGGUAGGGUCUCCGCGACCCUCCCGGCCUCCCGCCUCCGGGCGGGUCGGCGCCCGCCGGAGGAUAACCAAACUCUGAUUUAACGACGUUUCUUCUGAGUGGUACAAGCAAAUAAUCAAAACUUUUAACAACGGAUCUCUUGGUUCUGGCAUCGAUGAAGAACGCAGCGAAAUGCGAUAAGUAAUGUGAAUUGCAGAAUUCAGUGAAUCAUCGAAUCUUUGAACGCACAUUGCGCCCGCCAGCAUUCUGGCGGGCAUGCCUGUUCGAGCGUCAUUUCAACCCUCAAGCUCUGCUUGGUGUUGGGGCCCUACAGCUGAUGUAGGCCCUCAAAGGUAGUGGCGGACCCUCCCGGAGCCUCCUUUGCGUAGUAACUUUACGUCUCGCACUGGGAUCCGGAGGGACUCUUGCCGUAAAACCCCCAAUUUUCCAAAGGUUGACCUCGGAUCAGGUAGGAAUACCCGCUGAA
rnacentral:rRNA from 1 species